CCCUGGCUUGAUUGGGAGACAUGUAUUCUAGUCACUGCUCCCCUAUUAAUAGCUCUGUGAUUUGGGGAAGCUGCUUUGGCCUCUGGAUUGAAAAUGCCUCUUCAAAACUGCCAACAGAGAACUUCUCUCCUUUGAGUGAGUUCGAGAAGAUCACCACAGAACACUGAAUUCCACUGUGAAAACAAACCUGGAGGCCAAAGCGUAAGCACUUGCAGUUGGAGGGGCCUCUCUCUUGUGCCGAAACGAAACCAUACUUCUCAACCUUUUCACCAUGACCUCGAGAAUGCUGAGCUCUGCCAGCCUGAUUUCCUUCUCACCGCUGUGCUACCUGUAACCAACCUGCCAACGCUGAAGAGCUCUGGUUGGCUCCAUGGAAUGAAUAUCUGUCUCUGCCACUUGACUGUGAGUUCCUCCAGAGCCCAGGAUAUACCUUACUCAUCUUAGUGUUCCAGCUCGUCCGCAGAACUAAGCAGCUGAACACUUUAGUGUAUUUAGUAUAUUUCUUAAGUUUUUACUGUGUGUCCAGCACUAUGCUGAGCUCUAAGAAUCCCCAAACACCACCUCUGAACCCAGGGAGAGAACAGUUGAUUAAAGAGAUUCAUUUCUAA